GUGAGAAGCACGCAAGCGCCUCUAGCGGCUGUCAAUGAGACAGCAGCUAGAGGAAAUAGGGGAAGGCUUAACCCAUUCAUAAACAUAGCAGUUUCUCUGAAACUGCUAUGUUUAUGAAAAAAUGGGUUAACCCUAGCUGGACCUGGCACCCAGACCACUUCAUUAAGCUGAAGUGGUCUGGGUGCCUAGAGUGGUCCUUUAAUGUUAG